AUGGACCCUUCCAUCCCUUUUUCCCGUGCAUAUGCAUCGGACUCGGAUGACGAUGGUCCGGAUGAACAAGUUGAUGCGGAGGGGUUCACGGUGAAGGAAGCCGAAGCUUUCGAGAAGGUAUUUGGUCGGGAUCAUCGGACUACAUUGUUCAAGGAUGUUAGUCUCGCAGAUGAAGCCGUGAUAGAUGGUGGCCAAUGUGUACCUCUUGGGGUUAGGCCAAUCUCUUAUCGUGAUUUGGGAGAUGACGAGAACCGCAUUGCUAAAGGUUCUAAGUUCGACACCUUCUUGGAAUUGAAGAUGUGGCUCGACAACUACUCGGUUACGCAUUAUCGUCCACAUAAGGUGGUGCAUUCGGACGUCAAAGUGCGCUACACGGUUGCAUGUGCAUGUGAAGAUGAAAUAUGUCCAUGGAUUGUGCGUGCAAGACCAUGGAAAGGAGGUCCCACUUGGCACGUAGUGAGUUGUGUGCCAACUCACAUGUGCCAAGGCAAAAGGGUGGAUGGCAAGAUUGUGUCCCAAAACCACAAACAACUCACGUCUGAGUUCAUCGCUUACAGGCUCUCCAACUCAAUAUCCACACUUCCAACAAUGAGCGUCCAACAUGUCAUUGACCUUGUGAAAGCCAUCUUUCACUACAAGGUGAAGUACGGCAAGGCAUGGAAGGCAAUGAAGUGUGCCAACUCACUCGGAUCUGAAGGAUUUGGGAGAGGGGAUUGA
rnacentral:rRNA from 1 species